CGGGCUGUAGCGCAGUUUGGCUAGCGCGCUUGGUUCGGGACCAAGAGGUCGAGGGUUCAAAUCCCUCCAGCCCGACCA
rnacentral:tRNA from 1 species